AAAUGCGAUAAGUAAUGUGAAUUGCAGAAUUCAGUGAAUCAUCGAAUCUUUGAACGCACCUUGCGCUCCUUGGUAUUCCUUGGAGCAUGCCUGUUUGAGUAUCAUGAAAUCUUCAAAGUAAAUCUUUUGUUAACUCAAUUGGUUUCUACUUUGGUAUUGGAGGUCUUUGCAGCUUCACACCUGCUCCUCUUUGUUCAUUAGCUGGAUCUCAGUGUUAUGCUUGGUUCCACUCGGCGUGAUAAGUUAUCUAUCGCUGAGGACACUGUAAAAGGUGGCCAAGGUAAAUGCAGAUGAACCGCUUCUAAUAGUCCAUUGAUUUGGACAAUACUUUUAUGAUCUGAUCUCAAAUCAGGUAGGACUACCCGCUGAACUUAAGC
rnacentral:misc_RNA from 1 species